UACGUAGGGUGCAAGCGUUAAUCGGAAUUACUGGGCGUAAAGCGUGCGCAGGCGGCUAUGCAAGACAGAUGUGAGAUCCCCGGGCUCAACCUGGGAACUGCAUUUGUGACUGCAUGGCUAGAGUGCGGCAGAGGGGGAUGGAAUUCCGCGUGUAGCAGUGAAAUGCGUAGAUAUGCGGAGGAACACCGAUGGCGAAGGCAAUCCCCUGGGCCUGCACUGACGCUCAUGCACGAAAGCGUGGGGAGCAAACAGG
rnacentral:rRNA from 1 species